rnacentral:rRNA from 1 species
UACGUAGGUGGCAAGCGUUACUCGGAAUUACUAGGCGUAAAGCGCAGGUAGGCGGUUUGGAAAGUUUCUUGUGAAAGCUCCCGGCUUAACUGGGAGAGGCCAAGGAAAACUACCAGGCUAGAGUGUGGAAGAGGAAGCUAGAAUUCCCGGUGUAGCGGUGAAAUGCGUAGAUAUCGGGAGGAAUGACCUAUGGCGAAAGCAGGCUUCUGGUCCAUCACUGACGCUGAUCUGACGAAAGCCUAGGGGAGCAAACAGG